rnacentral:lncRNA from 1 species
CCGGGUUCACGCCAUUCUCCUGCCUCAGCUUCCCGAGACUACAGGCGCCUGCCACCACGCCCGGAUCUACUUGAAUGGACUCAUUAACUUUUACACCUGAAAGAGAUCAGAGAUCAUUUGAUGAAAUCUCCACAUUUUACAGAUGAGUAGCCAUUCUGUUUCUAAAGAUCUGUGUUUUAUUUUUCCAUUAUUUUAUGGAGUAUAGUUUCCAUCAAAAGACUGAUGAGUGCCACGCAAGUGGGAGAAGGGAAAAUGAAAUCAAGAAGGUCAUUGUCCAAGUAUUCUCACUUGUUUCUUAUCAGGGAUGAAAAUCCACAACUGAAGUUGAAGAUAGACUAAGCGGUAAACAUGGUCAGUGCCACUUUGUGGAAGAGCAGCAAGAAUCAUCUUACUCGGGCAUUUAUUCCAUGUAACUCUAUUUCAGAACUCUAAACUGACUCCAAAUCAAGUUUAAUAAUGGUCCUUCAUUGAAGUCUGAACUUCAAACCAUGGACUUCAAGUGCCUCUGUCAAUCUAUUUCUCAACUUACUAAUUGUUCUCAUUUCUUAUUUGUAACUAAUCACUGACAGUGCAUAAAAUGUGGCUUGAGCAUGAAGAAAGAAACAUAUAUAGAGAUAAUAAUUUCCUCAAUUUAGUGAAACUUACAGUCUUUUUUCUUUACCAAAAAAUGGUCCGUUUGUAAUUAAUAUUAAUUACUUGAAACUGUAAUGAUCCUCAUCAACUUCAUGAAUCAGCUAUGUAUGUGCCUUAGAAGAAGUCUACUUCAUCUCCAACCAAAGUAUAAGCCUUAUUGGUCAAAAGGCAAUCUCAUUUUCCUUGUCAGCUCUUGGUUCAAAAAGAACAUGCAACCCAGUUUCCACCAAUAAGACUUGAUGACAAGUUUGCUGGGAUGGAGAGCAUCUUUAGAAAAAUUUUCCUCCUCACUAAGAGUGGAGCACAAAAAGUUAUAAUGUCUCUUCUUUUUCUAAACAUAGUCACAUAAGGGACCACUGCAACCACACCUUUACCAUCCUGAGGAAGAAAGAUGGCAGACCUGAGGACUGGAAAGAAAGCACAUUUGACAUCAAAUUUCUUAAACAACUUAGAAACCAAUUUUUCUCUAAAUUUCUGUCUCUAAAUGUUUUCUCUAAAUUAUGUGAGAUAAUACCUUUCUCUGUUAGGCAAGUCUCUAAAGUUUUUCUUUUCCUUGAAGCAGAGAUUAUCCUAAUACAAAUGGGGUAAGGAUUAUUUCAGCUGAAAAUACGGAAUUGUUUAGUUAGUGUUUUUCCAUGUACAUUGGCCCUCUCAAAAAUUAUUUCUUUAUAUGAAAAUACAUUUUGUUAAUAUCGUGUAUAUACUACAUAAUUCCAAGGAACAUAUAAUAUUUGUCUGUAUCCAUUUCACUGUACUGAGUCAUCUGACUGGGAACCUGGUGUUUGGCAAAAAUCCUAACACAAAAUAUAGGCUAUUCAAAGCUUCACUAUAUUACUGGGAGCGGAAACGGCUGUUUGUAAAGUUCUUUUGUGACAACAUUUUUGUGAUAUAUGAAAUAAAAACAAAUGGAUUGAAUUUCUCAUAAAUCAGUGUUUAAAGUAACCAAAAUAAUGAGAGAAAAUUGUUUUUUGCCAAAAAAGAUAUAUUUUAAGUAUCACUGAAGUCAUUUCCAGCUUCUCUUUUCUAAUCCCAAUAAAUUCACUACUGAAAAUUAUGAAAGGGUUGUACAUAGCUAAAACCAAGGUUACAAAUGUGUGUGAAAAAUCUUGGCAAGUCACGUUAAAAUACAGAAUGGCACCAUGGCCUGGGUGAAGAGCAAUACUUAUUCUCCUAAUUAAAUAUAAGCAAACCUCUGAUUUCUACCUGACUCACCAAUUUGGAAUGUAGCUUUUUUGAAAUGUUUGUACCAAAAGAAAGACUAAUUGUUUUAACUUUUAAAUGAUAAAGUAACAUGCCUUAUUUCUCUCCAGACACAUUCCACUGGAACAAUAGCUAGAGAUAAUCUGUUACUCUCAGGAUAUCCUCUCAGUGUAAAUUGGGAUUUUGCAGUUCAUAACCCAUAACCAAUAGUAUAAACAAGAUGAAAUAUAGCCAUUUGUAGAGAGAGUUGCCAAAAAGAUGUGUUUUCUGUUUUCUUCAUUAUGAUCAUUUAAAAUUUUUUCAUUAAAACUUUCUUGUACUUAUUUCUUUUCUUGAAGAUAUAUUUGAAAUAAUUCAUCCGUAGGAUUCUUAGGAUUUAAACAACAGCAAGAACAAACACAACAACUUUAUUUUUUAGUGUCAUUAAUUCAAAUAGGUUAGAUUUCACUUACCAAAUCAUUCAACUUUAAUUUUUAAGCACUUAACAUAAGACAAGUACUGUAUUCAAUGCAGAAAGCAUGAUAGUAAGAUAGACACUAAGCCUAUGUCUCUGCAUUUUUCAGUCUUUAAAAGGGCAGAAAAGUAAACAAACCGUAACACCAAAUGUAUUUAGAGCUACAAUACAGGAAGUGCAAAAUCUAGUAAAAUCACAGAGCAGGAGCAAUGAGCUAGUUUAUGAGGUCAAGGAAGAUUCCUAGAGGAAAUGAUAUUUAAUUCAUGUUUUCAAAUUUG